UGCACAUGCUGUGAGCUCGAUGAGUAGGGCGGGACACGUGGUAUCCUGUCUGAAUAUGGGGGGACCAUCCUCCAAGGCUAAAUACUCCUGACUGACCGAUAGUGAACCAGUACCGUGAGGGAAAGGCGAAAAGAACCCCGGCGAGGGGAGUGAAAAAGAACCUGAAACCGUGUACGUACAAGCAGUGGGAGCACGCUUAGGCGUGUGACUGCGUACCUUUUGUAUAAUGGGUCAGCGACUUAUAUUCUGUAGCAAGGUUAACCGAAUAGGGGAGCCGAAGGGAAACCGAGUCUUAACUGGGCGUUAAGUUGCAGGGUAUAGACCCGAAACCCGGUGAUCUAGCCAUGGGCAGGUUGAAGGUUGGGUAACACUAACUGGAGGACCGAACCGACUAAUGUUGAAAAAUUAGCGGAUGACUUGUGGCUGGGGGUGAAAGGCCAAUCAAACCGGGAGAUAGCUGGUUCUCCCCGAAAGCUAUUUAGGUAGCGCCUCGUGAAUUCAUCUCCGGGGGUAGAGCACUGUUUCGGCAAGGGGGUCAUCCCGACUUACCAACCCGAUGCAAACUGCGAAUACCGGAGAAUGUUAUCACGGGAGACACACGGCGGGUGCUAACGUCCGUCGUGAAGAGGGAAACAACCCAGACCGCCAGCUAAGGUCCCAAAGUCAUGGUUAAGUGGGAAACGAUGUGGGAAGGCCCAGACAGCCAGGAUGUUGGCUUAGAAGCAGCCAUCAUUUAAAGAAAGCGUAAUAGCUCACUGGUCGAGUCGGCCUGCGCGGAAGAUGUAACGGGGCUAAACCAUGCACCGAAGCUGCGGCAGCGACGCUGAUGCGUUGUUGGGUAGGGGAGCGUUCUGUAAGCCUGCGAAGGUGUGCUGUGAGGCAUGCUGGAGGUAUCAGAAGUGCGAAUGCUGACAUAAGUAACGAUAAAGCGGGUGAAAAGCCCGCUCGCCGGAAGACCAAGGGUUCCUGUCCAACGUUAAUCGGGGCAGGGUGAGUCGACCCCUAAGGCGAGGCCGAAAGGCGUAGUCGAUGGGAAACAGGUUAAUAUUCCUGUACUUGGUGUUACUGCGAAGGGGGGACGGAGAAGGCUAUGUUGGCCGGGCGACGGUUGUCCCGGUUUAAGCGUGUAGGCUGGUUUUCCAGGCAAAUCCGGAAAAUCAAGGCUGAGGCGUGAUGACGAGGCACU
rnacentral:rRNA from 1 species